GGGGGUGUACCGGUUUCGACGUGGGUUUUGAACGUGAGGCUGCAUGUCGUGUUACUCUGGGUCACGUAAAAACUGGGGAAAUUUAAAACAAACGCAAACGAAAAUAAUUUAUUAGCUGCCUAGUUGCAGCUCGUCCCUCUUAGACCUCCUGCCGUUUAAGAGCUGACGUCAUUUAUGCAGGGUACUGCUCUUGGGGUGUCUUGACCUUGAGUUGAACAAUUAAGACUGGACAAAUCUAAAACCUGUCAAUCGGUGUUAGAGGAGUCGAGAUAAUAAAAGAUAUGACUAAACAUGUAGAUGCAGCAUGGAAUGGGCUUACGGACAGGGGUUCGACUCCCCUCAUCUCCAUCA
rfam:Peptostreptococcus anaerobius CAG:621 genomic scaffold, scf18